AUAACUCCAACACCGUGUUCACUUCCCGGACCCCGCCGAGAAGAGACCAUCACGGUUACAUACGCAGUUGAUGCAUUUUAAUUAAGUUAAGUUUCAGGUUAUCUACAACUGGACAUUAACAAAUUCCCAUCUGCCCAUAACCGCGGGCACGGCUUUCGAAAGUUCAAAACCCUGCAGGGGUGUCCCAACUUAGCCCAUCACAAGCUCUCACGGUCAAUGAAAGAUAUUCCUUCUCCUAAGACACUCCGAUCAGACUCGGAAUCCCGGUUACAAGACAUCUCGACAAUGGUAAAACAAGUCCAGCAAGACCACCCGCUGUGCCAACAAAUCCUGAUAGGAACUGCACAUAUCUCGUUCUCAGGGCACACCAGAUAAGCUAAGCGUACGGAAGCCAAUGUAACCCAAGUUGCCAAGGGACGGCCCCGCACGAUGCUCUGGGUUGGACCAACACUUAGAGAAGCACUGGCCCGGGGGUUUAAAAUAAAGAUGACCCUUGAGUCCGUGAAACCCAAGGAAAAAAGGCUAGGUGGCGAAUGGUAAAACCAAGGUUGGGCCUUGCUAGAGGAGUUUUAUUCAAGGCGAACUUUCAAGGGGUUCCCAUUAUAACCCAACCGUGUAAGGAACACAAAAUCAAGGAACAUAACACCGGUAUGACGGAAACCAGGGCGGCAAGAGUGGAACAAAACACCAGGCAUAAGGCCGAGCCUUCCACCCUUUACCAAGUAUAUAGGUGCAUUAGGAUAAUCAAGAUAAUAUUAUGAUAUCCCAACAAUAAACAUGUUCCAACAAGGAACAAACUCCAAACUUCACCUGCAACUAGCAACGCUAUAAGAGGGGCUGAGCAAAGCGGUAACAUAGCCAAACAACGGUUUGCUAGGACAAGGUGGGUUAGAGGUUUGACAUGGCAAUUUGGGAGGCAUGAUAAGCAAGUGGUAGGUAUCGUAGCAGGGGCAUAGCAAAAGAGCGAGCAUCUAGCAAGCAAAGAUAGAAGUGAUUUUGAGGGUAUGGUCAUCUUGCCUGCAAAGUUCUCUGAGUUGACUUGAUCCUCGUAAGCGUACUCAACGGGCUCCUCGAUCACGUACUCGUCUCCCGGCUCUACCCAAAGCAAGAACAACAAGCAAAGGGAAACACAAUCAACCACGUGCAAUGCUCAAACAACAUGAUGCAAACAUGGUCAUGAUAUGCGGGAUGCGAUAUGUGAUGCAUAUGCAUGAUUUGGAAAGGAAUGAUUGAACCUGGCCUCAACUUGGAAAACCAAGAGUGCCACUGGAAAGGUGAGUUGAUUUCAGUCGAAAUCAAUAUAAAUAUCACCGGAAUCGGAUGCACGGUUUGGAAAUGGCGAGCAAAACAAAUAUGGCAUCGGUCUGCGAUUAACAACACGAGACCAUAUAAAUGCAUCAAGGACAACAUGCUACAGCACUCCAACAUAGCAACAAAAUACAUGGUAGGGAUCCACUCAAGAUGCUUGACAAAAGAUGAACACUGAGCUACGGCCAAUUCACUCAAUAGCAGGUUCAAACAAGCAUGGCAAAAGUGCAAAAGAUAAUAGGUUACAGACUUCGUGAAAAUAACAAGUCAGGAAGUUAACAUCAGGAAGCCAUCUUUAGAGCAAGAUAACAACAUGUUACAGGAACAUAUCAUGGAAAAGCAAGGCAUGGCAUGAAGCUACUCAAAGCAUACAACAAAAGUCCCUUACUGAACAUAAGCCAAAAGGGACCAUAAUUUUACAACUAGCAACGGAAUGGACACCGGAGACUGUUUAAUUAAAACAAAGCAUUGCGAUGGUCCUCGCGGAUGCUGACGCAAUGUGAUUUCUGCCCAGUGCUCUGAAUGUCAAAGUGAAGAAAUUCAACCAAGUGCGGGUAAACGACGGGAGUAACUAUGACUCUCUUAAGGUAGCCAAAUGCCUCGUCAUCUAAUUAGUGACGCACAUGAAUGGAUUAACGAGAUUCCCACUGUCCCUCUCUACUAUCCAGCGAAACCACAUCCUAGGGAAUGGGCUUGGCAGAAUCAGCGGGGAAAGAAGACCCUGUUGAGCUUGACUCUAGUCCGACUUUGUGAAAUGACUUGAGAGGUGUAUGAUAAGUGGGAGCCCUCACGGGCGCAAGUGAAAUACCACUACUUUUAACGUUAUUNAUACCACUACUUUUAACGUUAUUUUACUUAUUCCGUGGGUCGGAAGCGGGGCAUGUCCCCUCCUUUUGGCUCCAAGGCCCGGUCUUACCGGGCCGAUCCGGGCGGAAGACAUUGUCAGGUGGGGAGUUUGGCUGAGGCGGCACAUCUGUUAAAAGAUAACGCAGGUGUCCUAAGAUGAGCUCAACGAGAACAGAAAUCUUGUGUGGAACAAAAGGGUAAAAGCUCGUUUGAUUCUGAUUUCCAGUACGAAUACGAACCGUGAAAGCGUGGCCUAUCAAUCCUUUAGAUCUUCGGAGUUUGAAGCUAGAGGUGUCAGAAAAGUUACCACAGAGAUAACUGGCUUGUGGCAGCCAAGCGUUCAUAGCGACGUUGCUUUUUGAUCCUUCGAUGCCGGCUCUUCCUAUCAUUGUGAAGUAGAAUUCACCAAGUGUUGGAUUGUUCACCCACCAAUAGGGAACGUGAGCUGGGUUUAAACCGUCGUGAGAUAGGUUAGUUUUACCCUACUGAUGACAGUGUCGCGAUAGUAAUUCAACCUAGUACAAGAGGAACCGUUGAUUCACACAAUUGGUAAUCGUGCUUGGUUGAAAAGCCAGUGGCGCGAAGCUACCGUGUGCCGGAUUAUGACUGAACGCCUCUAAGUCAGAAUCCAAGCUAGCAUGCGACGCCUGCGCCCGUCGCCCGCCCCGACCCAUGUUAGGGGCGCUUGCGCCCCCAAGGGCCCGUGCCAUUGGCUAAGCCGGUCCGGCCGAGACCGGCCGCCUCGAAGCUCCCUUCCCAACGGGUGGUGGGCUAAAUCCUUUGCAGACGACUUAAAUACACGACGAGGCAUUGUAAGUGGCAGAGUGGCCUUGCUGCCACGAUCCAUUGAGAUCCAGCCCCAUGUCGCACGGAUUCGUCCCUC
rnacentral:rRNA from 1 species